GGUGGAUUAGCUCAGUGGGUAGAGCUCAGGGCUCGCGACCUGGAGGUCUGGGUUCGAAUCUCGCAAGAUUUUCUG
rnacentral:tRNA from 1 species